CCGAGCUGGUGCACACGUGCACAUCUGUAAGGGCUGGACUUCGGUGGGGCUGGAUCAGGGGCGGAUUUAACCUCGUAUCUGAAGUUUACCAAAAAACCAGAGCCAUUUAAAUGUAUUCUUAACCUUAUUUUUUUUUUCCAGCAAUUCUUAUUAAUGACUGCAGCUUGGAAGCUGCUGCCUUUGUGUAUCUGAAGAGGCUGUGAGCGUUGGCUUUUCAGAAACCCUUCCCGGAGCCUUCCACAGCUGCACUUCUGGUUUACAUUUGAAAGGUUUCCUAACCUGCUGCGCUGCAUCCCUGUGCAGUCACUGGGGUCCCAAAGCCGCCACCCAUCGUCACUGGGGUCUCGGAGAGCUUCAGCCCACCAGGUCGAUGUGGCAGCAGGUAUAUACUUUGUGCAGUCGCUUUUCUCCUGGGAAAGAACGUGACUUCAUGGCAGGCAGGAAUGCUGACCCACUUGUCUCCUGCUGCAAGCAUCCAUCAAAUCCAGCCUCCGAGUCCCCUGGAGUCUUAAUUUUCCUCUUGACAGCAAAGACAAAUGACCCCCCCAGGGCUGUUUGCUCAUGUCUACCCAAAGUUUCCAUGACGUUUCUUGAAGAUGACCUGUUUUUUAAACACAAAUGGAGUUUUCUUUCUGCUGUCACCUACAAGCGCGAAGGCAGAGUCAGGCUUGUUUUAAGAAAACCUCACAGCGCCAAUCCCCAACACAUCCUCCUUCUCUUCUCUCUGCUUUAGGCUUCUUACACUUCCUAGAUGUUGCCAGAUGUAAUACUUUUCCCUCUUUUGGGGUUGUCCUGCACAGAUAUGGUGAUAUUUCAUUUUCAUUUGCAGUGCAACAACCAGUAGAAAAUAUUUUUUCCAGUAUUUUUCCAAUCCACCAGAAGUUUUGGUUUUUUUUUUUUCUCAAAUCACAAUGAAAUCUGAUUUAUUUUUUCCUGUCCUGUCUUUUCUUUCCUCUACAAAGCUUCCUCAGCACCAUGCCACCAGCUCCCAAGUAUCUGUCUCAAUGCAACUUCUUUUCCAGUAAUGCCACCUGUGAGCAGAGUGAAGCAGUGGCCACAAGCCUGCCAGACUCUCACCUACUCACGGGCAUUUUAACCUCUGCAAAACAGCACCUUACCACCCCUUCUCCUUCUCCCCAGCCCCACCGAAUACACCUGAACUCUGAGUGCCAUGAGCUUGCUGCAGACUUGGGAAGGCAGGCAGAAAACACAAGCAAAUAUCUGGUUUUGUCAUUAAAAUCUGCACUAAAAGGAUGCAGAGAAAUAGGGACAAAGCAACUUAAAUUCCCCAGUUGUCUAAUUCCAGAGAUCUUGUCUUUGUAACUGCAAUACAUCGUUUUAAUAUAGCUCUUGGCAAAAAUGUGCUUCCCUUUAUUUCCUUCCUUUCAGAAACUAAAAAAAAACCCUGUAGCAUCAUGCACGAGGUCUUAUACCGGGAAACACCGAGCGCUGCGAGGAGCACUGCCAGCCCUGGCUGUAAUUAAACCCCCAUAAAAAUGAAGACACUUUCUGGCCAGGAUCAUCCUGGUGCUGAAAGAGGGAAGAAAGCAGUUGCGGCUUUCCAGUUUCCCUUGGCGCAGGGAUUUUCCGACCAGCCUGGCCAUCGCAGGGACGGGAAGAUCAGCGCCGGACCACCUGGGUGCUGGCCGUGCUUGGCGAGUCCCUCCUGGCACCCCCGUUUCCAAACACCGCAGAGCAGCCCCGAGGUUGCACAAAGUCUCUUUGCUCUCUGGAACGAGCUCCUUUUUCGCAUGAAAUCUGUGCGGUCCAGGCACACCACGUUACGAACCCUUCUUGGCUAUUCAGCGCAAUGAUCACAUCCUGCAGAGCUGUGAUUUUCUGCGUGCAUGGAAAAGGCCUCUCAAAGCCACCGCUUUGUCCUGCUGGUGUAUGUGGCUGCUUAAUAUAUAUUGGAUAAUUUAAACAAUCCACAUGCCAUAACGUGCUCCCAAAUGUUUAGUUGAGUGUCCCCAAAUUUGUUUUGCUUGUUUAUCCUUCCAUUUGUUUGGAACAUAACCGUUCUUUGACUUUGCCCUGUGCCUUUCAGCAUUAUUUUAUGGAAAUCCCAAUUUCCUUUCCUGAAAGAAACCCUGAUGAUAAUGAGAGGCUUCGAGCUUUUCAAACAAAAAGGCAGUUUGAGUCAAUUCUGCGUUUUGCUUUUAAUCAAAACUAGUUGUGUGCAUUUGCACCACAAUGCUCCAUAUGGGCUUGGUUGCUGGCAUUCAGCGAAGGGCAGGGGCAACUGAAAAAGCUCCCCAUUUUUCAAAGGUUUAACGAUGGACUUGCAAAAGUGUAAUUUGUCAGAUGUCAAAUUUUCCAGAAUCACUGGAAAAAAUCCCUGGAAACAUGUUGUGGAAUCACAGAGACAAAAUUUCACAUGGGCAGAGCAGCACAGCAGCACUUACCUGCAGGGAGAGAGUAGGAAAUAGGAAACGGGGAAGUUUUAAUGGACCCUGAAAGGUUUUUUCGUGUUUUAUCUGGAUAUCGGUCUUCCGUUUUAGCUGUGAUUCAUUUUUCAGGCACACCAUUUUGACUCAAUUUAUACUGAAUCUACAAUAAAUAAGAAGGAAAACAAGCUACGGUCCA
rnacentral:lncRNA from 1 species